CCUACGGGAGGCAGCAGUGGGGAAUAUUGCACAAUGGGGGAAACCCUGAUGCAGCAACGCCGCGUGAGUGAAGAAGGUUUUCGGAUUGUAAAGCUCUGUCAGCAGGGAAGAGGAAGGCGGGUCCCUGAAGAGGAAGCCCCGGCUAACUACGUGCCGGCAGCCGCGGGAUAACGUAGGGGGCAAGCGUUGUUCGGAAUAACUGGGCGUAAAGGAUGCGUAGGGGGUUAAACAAGGUAUAUGGUAAAUAUAUAGGCUUAACCUGUAGGAAGCAUAUAAAACUGGUUAACUAGAGUGCAGGAGGGGUAAGUGGAAGUCCUAGUGGAGCGGGGAAAAGCGUAGAGAUUAGGAAGAACACCAGGGGCGAAGGCGAGUUACUGGACUGUAACUGACGGUGAGGCAUGAGAGCAUGGGGAGCAAACAGGAUUAGAUACCCCAGUAGUC
rnacentral:rRNA from 1 species